AAUGUCAUAAUUAUGAUUUACCAAAGCAUGAAUCUUUUUUCCUCAUGUAGCAGAAAUGAGCUUCCAUUAAAACGUGACCUGGACAUGUUUGUGAGAUUCACCCUACUGCUAUCUUUCCUCUCUCUAGAUUUGUUCAAAUGUAGUUUUUCCUAAUAAAACCGAGCUUAUGCGUAGUCAUUCGUACUAUAGAGAGAGAAACACGAUAUGAUUUAAAAAGACGGCAUAACCAUCCUUUGUCUCAUAUUUUCUUAAAAUGUGUUUGCAUGAGUGAAUAUGUAACAGCCAUUUGUUUUCUUCAAAUACGAGACUUGCUGGCUUUAGCAGAGGUCACUGAGGCGUCACACACCAUUUUCCAGAUCACGUGACAUUCCAGUGCUGUUCUAGAAACACGUCAGAAGCUCUGAGUUUAGGAUCAGUGUUGUGGAAUCCUCACUAAUGAUUUAUGCGGUAGAUGGCGGACACAUUGGCUUCUGUCGUAUAAUUACCAGCCAAUGAGAUGUCAACUUUACUGCCAUUUGCAUAUCACCAAUGGAAUAGAUCCAGAUAAACGGGCUGGGGUUUCCAAGUGCUGCAUGUAAGACAUCUUUGCUCGAUGUGGAUCAGCCAGGGGUUCAGAACCAGAUGAAUCAGUCCAUCUCAAAAGCCGCAGUUUCAUUACCAAUUAAUCGCAGUGUAGAAUUGAGCAUCAAAUCGAUGGCAGACAAAGUCUAUUUUUAACAGUGGUUGUGGAUGGUUUUGAGGAGAGAUGGACAGCUAUUGGAUGAUUUGAACGGUGCAUGUUUGUAACAAACACACACAACCGGUGACUUCUGUAACCCCUUUAAUAUCACCUUUGUUCCAUACUGAUCCGCUUCAUCUUAAAAAGAAGUCAUUUUAAAAUCAUAUUUAAUAAAUAUCUUGUUCUUUUAUUGGUCAUACAUUAGUGGAAAUGUUUCUUUUCUUGUCUCUGAAAGUAUGUGCACAAUAAAACAAUGUAAAUCUG